UGGACAGGAGAGCUGUUACUUUCUCUGACUUGCCUGCUUUCUAAUCCCAGAGGCCUCAGUUGUGACCUUGGCAAGCCAUUGGCCAGUUAAGCCAUUAACAUCCUGAUUUGGAAAGUGGGAAAUGCAGUAAUAUUGACCCCUGGAGGUGACAUGUGGACUGGGUGACUUCAUAAAGCAGUGACAAACAGACUGUUUUAGUUUGAGACCCAUUUGUGCUGGAGUUUACUAGAAUUUUCGCUAGACACAAAGCCCUAAGAAGACAAAGACGAGUGAACUUUUCAAUUUCAAACAUUCAGGAGACUGUCACUAGCUACUCAGAAGUCUUCACCAUGAUUCCUCUCUGGAAGCUUGAAGUCCCAACAAUCGGUGCUCCAAGGAUGUCACAGGCCUCUCAGCCAGCCUAUUCGUCUGAUAAAUGUUUGAUAAGCACCUCUCCAUCCCCAAUCAAGAGAGUUGUGAUGCCAUCCUGCACCCAUGGCUCCUUGCUAAAUAAACUCGAUCCAAUGGAAAAAUCUUAGACUGGCUGCCUGUCCAUCUGCAUCCCUCCCAAGUGGAUCCCUCUGCUGCUAGCCUUGAGCAGCAGCAGCAGCAACAUGGGAACAGAAGUUUCAGCAAAUGGGAUCUCAUCAACACUGUGUAGAAGGAACGGAAUUGAGCGCAGAGUCCAUGCUGCCUGCCACACCACUGACAUGCAGCUGAAUGCUGGGUGAACCAGAUGAUGCCACUGGGAGCCAGGCCUGGACUCCAGCAUGUAGGCAGUGGCUCGAGUGUCA